rnacentral:rRNA from 1 species
CCUACGGGGGGCUGCAGUGAGGAAUAUUGGUCAAUGGGCGUAAGCCUGAACCAGCCAAGUCGCGUGAGGGAUGACGGUUCUAUGGAUCGUAAACCUCUUUUAUAAGGGAAUAAAAUGUGCGACGUGUCCUAUUUUGUAUGUACCUUAUGAAUAAGCAUCGGCUAACUCCGUGCCAGCCGCCGCGGUAAUACGGAGGAUCCGAGCGUUAUCCGGAUUUCUUGGGUUUAAAGGGUGCGUAGGCGGCAGUUUAAGUCAGCGGGGAAAGUCUGUGGGUCAACCAUAGAAUUGCCGUUGAAAAUGGGGGGCUUGAGUAUGCGUGAGGCAGGCGGAAUGCGGGGUGUAGCGGUGAAAUGCAGAGAUAUCACGCAGAACCCCGAUUGCGAAGGCAGCAGGCC